AGCCACCGCGGCGACUUGGCGGCGGGUGCCAUGCGUCUGGAGCUUCACAUUCUCUGCCCCCCACCCACCGCGCCGGCGCUCCCUUGUCACGCCUCGGGAAGCGCGCACCUGCCAAGCAGGAUGAAUAAUCUGAUAUCAUGUGAAAUGAGGAAAUAAGAAGCUUUCUGCUGACUUCAUUUUGACCCAGGGUCCAAAAGGUGAUGUAAUCCUGUGGCAAGAAGAUUCAAAACUGUGGACUAUCUUGCAAAAAAUACAAGAAGAUAUUGAAAGUUUUCAUGAGUGCCUACCACCUAAUCUCAAACACUAUCAUUCAUAUGUGCCUCAUUGAGCAAAUCUUUAAUGAGGAUCUAUAUGCCAGUAGAGAUGGGGUUUCACCAUGUUGCCCAGGCUGGUCUCAAACUCCUGAGCUCAGGCCAUCUGCCCGCCUCGGCCUCCCAAAGUGCUAGGAUUACAGGUGCCUGCUUCCCCUUCACCUUCCACCAUGAUUGUAAGUUUCCUGAGGCCUCCCCAGACAUGUGGAACUGUGAGUCAAUUAAAUCUCUUUUCUUUAUAAAUUA
rnacentral:lncRNA from 1 species